AUGCCUGUACCAUAACCGACACAGGUGGGUAAGUAGAGUAUACUAAGGGGCGCGAGAUAACUCUCUCUAAGGAACUCGGCAAAAUAACUCCGUAACUUCGGGAGAAGGAGUGCCUUAUUCUUAAGGUUGCAAUAACAAGAUCCAAGCAACUGUUUAUCAAAAACACAGGUCUCCGCUAAGUCGUAAGACGAUGUAUGGGGGCUGACGCCUGCCCAGUGCCAGAAGGUUAAAGAAGUCGGUUAGCAAUAUCAAAGCUGGUAACUGAAGCCCUGGUGAACGGCGGCCGUAACGAUAACGGUCCUAAGGUAGCGAAAUUCCUUGUCGGGUAAGUUCCGACCCGCACGAAAGGCGUAAUGAUUUGGAUGCUGUCUCGGAGAGGGGCUCGGUGAAAUAGACUUGUCUGUGAAGAUGCGGACUACCUGCACCAGGACAGAAAGACCCUAUGAAGCUUUACUGUAACUUGAAAUUGAAAUUGGACUUUAUUCGCGCAGUAUAGGUGGGAGGCGUUGAUUAUAAUCUUGUGGGAUUAUUGGAGCCAUCAGUGAGAUACCACUCUUGUAAUGUUAGAUUUCUAACUUUGAAUCAUUAUCUGGUCAAAGGACAGUUUCAGGCUGGCAGUUUGACUGGGGCGGUCGCCUCCUAAACGGUAACGGAGGCGUACAAAGGUUUCCUCUGAACGGUUAGAAAUCGUAUCUAGAGUGUAAAGGCAUAAGGAAGCUUGACUGUGAGACCUACAAGUCGAGCAGGGACGAAAGUCGGUCUUAGUGAUCUGACGGUACUGAGUGGAAAGGCCGUCACUCAACGGAUAAAAGUUACUCUAGGAUAACAGGCUGAUCUCCCCCAAGAGUUCACAUCGACGGGGAGGUUUGGCACCUCGAUGUCGGCUCAUCGCAUCCUGGGGCGGUAGUACGUCCCAAGGGUUGGGCUGUUCGCCCAUGAAAGCGGUACGCGAGCUGGGUUCAGAACGUCGUGAGACAGUUCGGUCCAUAUCCGGUGUAGGCGCUAGAAUAUUGAGAGGAGCCUUCUUUAGUACGAGAGGACCGAGAAGGACAUACCUCUGGUGUACCAGUUAUCGUGCCAACGGUAAACGCUGGGUAGCUAUGUAUGGAGUGGAUAACCGCUGAAAGCAUCUAAGUGGGAAGCCCACCUCAAGAUAAGUAUUCUCAUCACGUAAGUGAGUAAGGUCACGGUAAGACUAACCGUUUGAUAGGCAUUAAGUGUAAGUACAGUAAUGUAUGUGCUGAGAUGUCCUAAUAGACCGAGGACUC
rnacentral:rRNA from 1 species